CGGACUCGGACGGUGUGGACACCGUUGCCCUAAUUGUGAACGCCAACCGACGCCGAUGCAAUGCCGCGCUUUUCUUUGCCUUUUACUUAUGCUCUCCUAUAUCUCUAUGUAUGUGUGAGAGGAAUCUGUACAUUUUUAUCCCUUAAUGCUAAAUUAUGAGUAAGUCCAAUAUAUAGUUCUUACUUAUAACCGGGAUUUUAUCUGGCGCUGCUGUUUGCCACCAUAUGCUUCAUACCUCAACCUUAGCUAACAUGACGUUCGACUCCAGCAUGCUAGUAGUCUGCGAGGAUAAGGAAACAGCCCAAUGGGUCAUCUCAGCCGUCUAUGGUAUGUGCCCGCCGCACUCCUGCCAGCCCUUAAUCGAGUUCUUCGGCCUCCUGAGGACGUGAGGAGUCGCAGAACCCGGGCCUAAACACCGAC